rnacentral:rRNA from 1 species
GGCCUACGGGAGGCAGCAGUAGGGAAUCUUCCGCAAUGGACGAAAGUCUGACGGAGCAACGCCGCGUGAACGAAGAAGGUUUUCGGAUCGUAAAGUUCUGUUGUUAGGGAAGAACAAGUACCGUUCAAAUAGGGCGGUACCUUGACGGUACCUAACGAGGAAGCCCCGGCUAACUACGUGCCAGCAGCCGCGGUAAUA